AUGAUGAAAUCCUCAAGAGUUUUAUUAGUGAUCCUGUGGCUUCACUUAAUCUCGGUGAGCAGCCAGCAGAACACCGUGGAGCAGAGUCCUGCGUCUCUGCCUGUCCCAGAGGGAGCCGUUGCCUCUCUCGGCUGCACUUAUUCUGACAGUGCUUCUCAGUACUUCGCAUGGUACAGACAGUACCCUGGGAAAGGCCCUGAGUUUCUGCUGCUCGUGUAUCCAGACAAAGACAAAGAGGAAGGAAAAUUUACAGCGCAGUCCAAUAAAACCAACAAGCAUGUCUCCCUGCGUAUCAGAGACUCCGAGCCCAGCGACUCAGCCACCUACCUCUGUGCAGUGAGCACACAGUGCUCCCCAGGCACCUGCCGCCUGUGCCCAAACCUGCUGGGGCCCCGGCAGCGCCUCUUGGAGAGCUUAGGCUGCAGGGCACAGACAUUCUGUCACCUCUCUAGAUGUAAAUGUGGAUUAAGAGUAGCCAUGGAGAAGGUUUGA